ensembl:misc_RNA Gm27854 predicted gene, 27854
UCUGGGUGUGAUGGCGCACACUUUUAAUCCCAGCACUCAGGAGGCAGAGGCAGGUGGACUUCUGAGUUUGAGGCCAGCCUGGUCUACAAAGUGAGUUCCAGGACAGCCAGGGCUAUACAGAGAAACCCUGUCUCUGAAAAAAAGAGAGAGAGAGAGAGAGAGGGUCUUACCAUGUAGCUUUGACUGUCCUGGAACUCACUCUGUAGACCAGACUGGCCUCAAACUUAGAUAUCCACCUGCCUCU